GAACAUCCUGUUUCUGAGAUGCUGUAUAAAAGGGACUUUCAUUAUUUCACAUUUUUAUUCGCGUUGACAUUGCAAGGUACAAUAUGAAGAGUGUUCUUAUGACUAUCUUGUAUUUGACCGUUUUUAUGCAAACAGUUUCCUCCCUGAAGUGUUACGUUUGUUCCAAGGCAAAUGGCAAUUGCAUUACCGGCCAAAAAGAUUGCGGCUCUUCCUACAAAUGUAUGAAGAUCGAAUAUGAAGAGUCCAAAAAUGUCUACAAGUUGUGCGCCAGCAAUGGGACGUGUUCAGCGGCAGAAAUGAAAUGUGGACUAGGAAAGUGCAAAUCAUACUGCUGCGAUGGUAGUCUGUGCAACUCUGCAUCCGUCCUAAAAUGUUUGUCAUUGUUCUCAGUUUUGUUACUGUCAGGCAUGCGGUUUGCUGGUCUUACAUUGUAAUUUCAUGAAACUAAUUGGCCUGAAACUAUUAAAAUGUUUUGCAUUAA